rnacentral:sRNA from 1 species
UAAGGGUGAGAAAGGGGAAGUAUUACAACUAAUUGACCACAACCAGUUACAGAUUCCCUUGUUCCUUCUCCACUCCCACUGCUUCACUUGACCAGUUAA